rnacentral:rRNA from 1 species
UACGAAGGGGGCAAGCGUUGUUCGGAUUUACUGGGCGUAAAGGGAGCGUAGGCGGAUAGUUCAGUCAGAGGUGAAAGCCCAGGGCUCAACCUUGGAAUUGCCUUUGAUACUGGCUGUCUUGAGUAUGGGAGAGGUUAGCGGAACUCCGAGUGUAGAGGUGAAAUUCGUAGAUAUUCGGAAGAACACCAGUGGCGAAGGCGGCUAACUGGCCCAUUACUGACGCUGAGGCUCGAAAGCGUGGGGAGCAAACAGG